rnacentral:lncRNA from 1 species
GCAACGUGUGGUCAAGUGGAGAAGGGUGAAUGGAAGCGGCCAGACAGCUGGGAGAACCCUCGAUUCUCCCCUCGGGAACGACAGGGACUGCUGCCCUUCAGGACCACAGAAGGACACUGCCCCAGUUCUGGUGGGUGUGGCCUCUGCUGCCCUUGCUCCUCUGAUCACUCCUGGCCCUCCUGCACCUAGGAGAAGCUCUUCACCACUGCAAUUUGGGCCUUUCCUCAUCUGCACAAAUGCCAUUGAGUGAGGAGCCUGCUAGCAAGAGAAGUUAGAACAGCAGGCUGACCAGAUCCCAGCUGCUCUAUAGGUCCUGAUCUCUGUGGCAGUAUCCUGACCCGCUGGAGUCCCUAUGAGGCUGUAACAAGGACUGUUAUCAGCAAUAAAGUAUAGUGCUCAUAGAUCAUUUCUUUUUCCCAAGUAAAGUAAAGUUACCUCCAAAGAGGUUACCUUGCAGAGAGGGUGCAAAAUGGCAGCCCACACAAUAUGUAUGCAUUAAGUUAAAAUUUAUAAGACUGGACAUCAAUAUCUAUUCUGUCACCUUCUCUUGGUGACUUGGCAGCCCAGGACUGACAGGCCCAGGGGUCAGGUCUUGCUGGGAACAGGUGGUUGUGCCCCUUCAGCAGCAGAGGACUCUCUGACAGACACUGUGAGCUCCUGGAAGGCAUUGCCAGCUCUUGUAGGCAUCUGAGAUGUGACCUCUGCCAAGCAGGAGCAGGAGUAGGUUUCCUGGGCUCUGAAACCUAUACAUUUAUGGAG